UGGGGAAUAUUGCACAAUGGGCGAAAGCCUGAUGCAGCAACGCCGCGUGAGCGAUGAAGGCCUUUGGGUCGUAAAGCUCUGUCCUUGGGGAAGAAAAAAAUGACGGUACCCUUGGAGGAAGCCCCGGCUAACUACGUGCCAGCAGCCGCGGUAAUACGUAGGGGGCAAGCGUUAUCCGGAAUUAUUGGGCGUAAAGAGUGCGUAGGUGGUUUUGUAAGCGCGGGGUGAAAGGCAAUGGCUCAACUAUUGUAAGCCCUGCGAACUGUGAGACUUGAGUGCAGGAGAGGAAAGCGGAAUUCCUAGUGUAGCGGUGAAAUGCGUAGAUAUUAGGAGGAACACCAGUGGCGAAGGCGGCUUUCUGGACUGUAACUGACACUGAGGCACGAAAGCGUGGGGAGCAAACA
rnacentral:rRNA from 1 species